CUAGUCAGAGUUUGGUGAAAACAUUAAUCAUAAGGACAAUAUGCAACGAGGAAAACGAUAUACCUGAUCGCCAAUGUCGAUCGGCACAUUGAAGUGUACAUUGAUCGUUUCUGAUGUUGUUCUGUCGAACGAUGUCGACUAGGUCUCAUCGGUCGAUGGCGAAGGAAUCGUUUCUUCCGGUCUCUUUUUGUUUUUUUUUCUGGUUUUUCUCUUUUUUUUUAUAGACUUGCAAUAAAUUGAAUGCAAAAAUAAGUAAGCGCAAACUGGCAUACGUGGUCUCCUCCCGGGGAGCUUUGAUCACCUUAUAGAUUUAAUCUUGUUUAGCUUAGGUUUUCUUCUUAAAAACCACUUUCUGACAUAAAAUUUUUCUUGUCUUUUCAGGUACAUGCCCAACAGUACUAGAAGCAACAAGGAAACUCAAGUGCUAUUCUCAACAGAUCCUGCAAGUUUGGAACGUCCAAUCCGCAAAGGAAGAAUUUCCUCAUCCACCGACACUCGCUCACCACCGUCGACCGAAGACACUCUUCUUCCAUCGACCGACAUCUUACAUCUGACAUCGAUC
rnacentral:lncRNA from 1 species